rnacentral:rRNA from 1 species
UUGGCAGAGAUCCAGCCAUAGCAUGUCUAAGUACAUACCUAUAUAACGGUGAAACCGCGAAUGGCUCAUUAAAUCAGAUAUGGUUCAUUGGAUUGUACCUACUACAUGGAUAACUGUGGUAAUUCUAGAGCUAAUACAUGCCACUAUGCCCUGACCCGCAAGGGAACGGGUGGAUUUAUUAGAACAGAACCAACCGGUUGUGAUUUCGGUCGCUUCCGUCUUGAUCUGUGAUGACUCUGGAUAACUUUACUGAUCGCAGUCGGCCUUGUGUCGGCGACGAAUCUUUCAAAUGUCUGCUCUAUCAAUUUACGAUGGUAGGUGAACCUGGAAAAGGAUCAAACCCCUGCAGAUGGUUAGAGCUUCUUUGAAGAUUGUCGCCCACACAGGGGACGCGAUCAUAGGUUUUCCAGAGUCUCACGAUAAGAUUGUAGCGAAAGAAUCCAACCGUGGGGUUUGGUGGGGGGAGGGUCCCCCCCCCCCCCGGGUGGGG